rnacentral:lncRNA from 1 species
UAGGCCCAAAAGCACCACCAUACCAGCCUACUACACAUCCCAAACUGCCUCAAAUGUCCAGCCCAUCAGCUAUAAGACCCGACCCGGCCUACUUUAUCUCCUUUUCUUAGAACUCCAACAAUGACAAUACCCACAUAGGCGCACAGCUGUUAUCACAGCAAACAAAUGACAACAACUAUUUAAACCCGACAAAUCAGUCCGACAACCCGACUCCAAAAUCCAAUAAUAUCGCGUACAACAUCAAGUAACAGCAACAGCUGCUACACGAACUGGCAUAUGGCUUCAACAGCUUGAGGAGUUUCUAGAAACAGCGUAGGUGUCCCCUAAUGUACAAAAAUUCAUCACUCUUGAAUGAAUUUGUACGAAUUCGUACAUGGGUGUGAAUUUUUUAUUGGUUCUUGGGGAAUAAUUCGUUAUUCUUCAUUCCUAUUGGAUGCCAUAUCUCAAAUUGGGUGAAAUUUUUUAGGGGUAACCAAAUCCUCAACUUGUAUUUGAAUUUUCCCCCCAUAAAAUCCCCAAACUACCCCUGAAUUUUCUAAUUUUUACAUCGUUUGAAGACCAAAAUUGAACCCCCCACAUCUUUCUAUAAAAAUUUCAAUAUUGAGCUAAAAAAAGGAGGUCUCGGAAGGGGGAGAAAAAUCCUUGGAGCACAAAUUCAGUUCUUUUUUCAAGUAAAAUAUUUUCAAGAAUUAGUCAGCUAAUCGGAGUUUCGAGUUGAUGAGGAGGAAGUAUUCUGGUGGUGGCGAUCUCGACGUUAGCUCGUUAUCCCAUUUUGCUGCCCAAAUAUCAGCCAGUACUCGAUUCUUUCUUUUACUAUUGCGUUGUAAUGAUUGUAGGAGUAGUAACUUUGAUUAUUGCCUUGUAUGCUGGGAUUAGCUGCUGUAGAGGUCGUGAAGGUCAUAGGUUUCCUAUUCUUGCUUGAUAGAUAUUUCAGAAAAACUCGUUCUUGUCUUGGUUGUUUGGUUAAUUUUUAGAUUCUCGUUUUGAAUUUGAUUUCGAUAUUCGUACAAUGUCCAUGAGGGUUUGUUGUUAGGGAUGGAAUUUGACUGUGAUUGAAUUUAGCGAUGGGUUCUUUACAAUAUUUUAGGAAGACUGUUAUUGAUUUUCUGUCGUUUCAGUAUUGAACCUGUUUACUAUACAGUGUAAAAGAUUGUGACUUUGAUGUUUAGUCUAAAACAUAUUAUCUUUUGCCUUGAGUGGUAUAGUUGUGUAAGUCCAAAAUUGGUUGUUGUUUUUAUUUGUUUUGUCCUGCUCCUAUUUUCAUAAUCUUAAGAUUUUUUGUUGGGGUUAAAAUAAAUCGGAUAGGUAUGCAUAAUCUCUUACGAAUGUCCAGUUGUUCCCUAGGCUGGGUUUCGUUACUACUUGAUAUAUUGAGAUUGGUAAUUAUUAGAUAUUUAUAUUCAUGUGAUGUCUUCUCUUUUGAUUUCGAUUUUUCAAAGAUUGUUUUGACUUUGACGUGAUCUGGAUUCUCAAUCUUUAAGGCUUUUACUAUCACUUUUUUACUAGAUUUCCUUUUUCAUGAGAUUGGACUUGGUACAAACAAUUGCUUUGAAAAUUCCACCAUAAGUUUUUCUACUUCUUCAUCGCUGGUGUUAAACGGUUCAGGCAAGCAUAUUUUCCCUGAAUAAGAUUUUAAUACCUCUUGUGAUACAUCUGUGUCCUAGUUAAUCUCUCCCUUUAUACAUUAUCAAAUUUUUGCUUUCAUUUUUUCUGGACAUAUUUGGUGUAUUCAUACUUACUUUCAUUCCUUGUUUUUAUUUCUCUUACUUUUUAUAGGUCUUAAGUGAUCCUUUGAAUCAUGUCAAAUUAUCAUUUUAUCAUACUUGUAGCUAUUAUAAUAAGUCUGAAUGCAAAGGUUUACAUAUUCUAGGCAACUUUUUAAUAUGACUAAGUAAGUAAAAUAGUAAUUGUACAUUAACAGUUGAUCUAGUGGAUAGUGUUGGUUUAAGGCACAUUUUUGAACUAGUUUAACUUUGUAUGAUUAUUAGCCAUGUAACUAGUGUUGUCCAUUAUUUACUAAACAUCACUCUUUUAUGCAUGUGACAUUGGCUUGUCUCACCUCGAAAUUUAUUAAUUGCAUAUUUAUGUUAUUUUUAUCUAUUAUUCGGUUCUAACCCUUGUCAUUUUCUUUACAUUUAUUGGCUGGUCUGGGUCCAAAUGGACUCAAUUUCUUCUUGCAUUUGCCUUAUGGGCCAUUAAGGCCCAUCAUCGCCUCAAGUCGGCCUCAAAAUUGAAUCCCAAGUUGAUCAUAUGGCGUAUAGAUAUAAGAAAACAAGAGAAGAGGAUAGGUCGAAACCCAUUGUUAAAAGAUCGUUAAAUUUUGCAUUGUUGUGUUUACUUGUUCCUUUAUUUUUUUGUCUAUUUGUUUAUUCAUUUAGGCCUCAAAACCAA